GUUCCUCAGCCUUACUCCAGGGGCUUUUAUUUUUCGUAAAGUGCCCUGGCAUUGCCUGAGGAUAAAUUGAAAAUAUGCUCCUUUCCCUCCCCAGCAAGAUUCUCUAUAUCCUCUGGGGCCUACAACUUGAGCAAACAUU
ensembl:snoRNA